rnacentral:rRNA from 1 species
AUUGAACGCUGGCGGCAUGCUUUACACAUGCAAGUCGAACGGUAACAGGUUAAGCUGACGAGUGGCGAACGGGUGAGUAAUGCAUCGGAACGUGCCCGGUCGUGGGGGAUAACGCAGCGAAAGCUGCGCUAAUACCGCAUACGGUCUGAGGAUGAAAGCGGGGGGCCGUAAGGCCUCGCGCGAUCGGAGCGGCCAAUGUCAGAUUAGGUAGUUGGUGGGGUAAAGGCUCACCAAGCCAACGAUCUGUAGCUGGUCUGAGAGGACGACCAGCCACGCUGGGACUGGGACACGGCCCAGACGCCUACGGGAGGCAGCAGUGGGGAAUUUUGGACAAUGGGCGAAAGCCUGAUCCAGCAAUGCCGCGUGCAGGAAGAAGGCCUUCGGGUUGUAAACUGCUUUUGUACGGAGCGAAAAGGUCUCCUCUAAUACAGGGGGCUCAUGACGGUACCGUAAGAAUAAGCACCGGCUAACUACGUGCCAGCCGCCGCCGUAA